AUUGAACGCUGGCGGCAUGCCUUACACAUGCAAGUCGAACGGCAGCACGGACUUCGGUCUGGUGGCGAGUGGCGAACGGGUGAGUAAUACAUCGGAACGUGCCUAGUAGUGGGGGAUAACUACUCGAAAGAGUGGCUAAUACCGCAUGAGAUCUAUGGAUGAAAGCAGGGGACCUUAGGGCCUUGUGCUACUGGAGCGGCCGAUGGCAGAUUAGGUAGUUGGUGGGAUAAAAGACUUACCAAGCCGACGAUCUGUAGCUGGUCUGAGAGGACGAUCAGCCACACUGGGACUGAGACACGGCCCAGACUCCUACGGGAGGCAGCAGUGGGGAAUUUUGGACAAUGGGCGCAAGCCUGAUCCAGCAAUGCCGCGUGCAGGAUGAAGGCCUUCGGUUGUAACUAGCUUUGUUACGGAACGAAAGGACGCCUUCUAAUACAGGGCGGCUCAUGACGGUACCGU
rnacentral:rRNA from 1 species